rnacentral:lncRNA from 1 species
CCCAUGCUUGCUUGCAGAGUUCUCAUUAUGGUCUCCUUUUACGUACCUUGCAAAAAACAUGGACAAACAAAUGAAGAAAAAGGUAAGUGGUACAUGUACAUAGAUACAAGGAUCGGAGGAGAUCAGAAGAAGAGGAAAUCAGUAGACCAUGCACAGUAUGUAGCACACAAGUACACAUUGCAACAUACUGACUACAGAUAGGUAGGCAGGUAGGUAGCCAAUGCAAGAAUCAACCAAUUGCAACUAAUAAUGCAGAAACGGCACAGCUAGCGUUAUUGGUGUAUGCAGAUCAGCAGAUGUAUCCUGUGUAGGAAUAUAAUGAGCAGGUAGCAGAUGCAUGGCUGCAUUACAUCACCUGAUGAGCCCUGAGAGCAGAAUAUAAUGCUGGCUGAUGCAUGAUGGUGUAGACUGCUGUAUCGAUCAAGAGCAUGCAGCAGCCAGGGCUAGCUUCCCUGUUGCCUGCUGCGUGGUAUGUGUUUGGAAUCGCCAUGGAUGGAUCGGCGAUGUCAAAUGCUUUCUCUUGCCUUGGUAGCAAGUAAGG